rnacentral:siRNA from 1 species
UUGAAAGUGUUCUCGUCAA